rnacentral:rRNA from 1 species
CCUACGGGGGGCAGCAGUGGGGAAUAUUGCACAAUGGGCGGAAGCCUGAUCCAGCAACGCCGCGUGAGGGAAGAAGGGUUUCGGUAUGUAAACCUCUAUUAGCAGGGACGAAAGAAAUGACGGUACCUGAAUAAGAAGCCCCGGCUAACUACGUGCCAGCAGCCGCGGUAAUACGUAGGGGGCAAGCGUGAUCCGGAAUUACUGGGUGUAAAGGGUGAGUAGGCGGCAUUGUAAGCCCGAUGGGAAAGCCUGGGGCUUAACCCGAGGAUUGCAUUUGAAACUGGCAGGCUAGAGUACAGGAGAGGUAAGCGGAAUUCGUAGUGUAGCGGUGAAAUGCGUAGAUAUUAGGAGGAACACCAGUGGCGAAGGCGGCAUUCUGG